UAGGGAAUCUUCGGCAAUGGGGGGAACCCUGACCGAGCAACGCCGCGUGAGUGAAGAAGGUUUUCGGAUCGUAAAGCUCUGUUGUUAAGGAAGAACGAGUGUGAGAAUGGAAAGUUCAUGCUGUGACGGUACUUAACCAGAAAGGGACGGCUAACUACGUGCCAGCAGCCGCGGUAAUACGUAGGCCCCGAGCGUUGUCCGGAUUUAUUGGGCGUAAAGCGAGCGCAGGCGGUUAGAAAAGUCUGAAGUGAAAGGCAGUGGCUCAACCAUUGUAGGCUUUGGAAACUGUUUAACUUGAGUGCAGAAGGGGAGAGUGGAAUUCCAUGUGUAGCGGUGAAAUGCGUAGAUAUAUGGAGGAACACCGGUGGCGAAAGCGGCUCUCUGGUCUGUAACUGACGCGGAGGCUCGAAAGCGUGGGGAGCGAACAGG
rnacentral:rRNA from 1 species